GAGAGAUCAAAGACGGUGAACCAUCUUUCUUCGCUUCACGUUUCAUCAACGACUGAUAAAACUCAACAAGCUCAGGAGCUCUGUGAACUUUACUCCCGCUUCCCGCUCCUCUUCCAAGAGCUCCAGGAGGAGGCGGUGGCGGCGGAGGUCCACCACCGCCACCACCAGGUGGAGGAGGGGGAGGCGGUGGACCACCACCAGGCAAAGGAGGUCUAGGGGAAGGCACAUUAGUGCUUUUACCACCUCCAGCUGAUCUUGGAGGCGGGCGAGGCACUCUAGGUGGUCGUUUCUCAAUAUCCACAAGCUUCAUUUUCGCCACGGCUUGCGCGUUUUCGCUAGCUUUACCCUCGUUGUUGCCG
rnacentral:lncRNA from 1 species